GACAGAGGUGCCAAGCGUUAGGCGGAAUCACUGGGCUUAAAGCGUGUGUAGGCGGAAUGGUAAGUACCUUGUGAAAUCCCACGGCUCAACCGUGGAACUGCUUGGUAUACUGCUUUUCUUGAGCCACUUAGGGGCAACCGGAACAAACGGUGGAGCGGUGAAAUGCGUAGAUAUCGUUCGGAACGCCAAUGGUGAAAACAGGUUGCUGGGAGUGUGCUGACGCUGAGACACGAAAGCCAGGGGAGCAAACGGG
rnacentral:rRNA from 1 species